UUAUAAUUGAUCGAUUAGUGUCCAAGACAAGAAGGAGGGUUCGAAUGUGGCUACUUUGUUAUGAGAUUCAUUAAAGAGAUAAUUUUUUAUCCUACAAUUAUUGCUUCAAAGUUUGGUAAUAAAAAAAACAUAUUCUCAAGUAGAAUUCGAUGAAAUUAGAGGAGAAUGGGCUACUUUUGUGCUACAACUAAUCAUGAAUCAUGUUGAUGCAUCAUGAUCACCAUGCAUGGUAUACACUCUUGGGAGGGUGAAAUGGAGAAUAAAAAGAAAGAAGAAGGCAACAAGAUUUUGGGUUUUUAAAUGCAACUCUUAUGUCAUACGUUGUAGGACAUAAACGUUACUUUAAUUGCAACUGAGAAAUUUAGAUUUUUAGAUGGGACUUCUAUGUCAUUUUAUGGUUAGCCGGUUUUAUGCUUAUGAAAUGGAGGUAUACAUGAAUCUUGGGAUCUUUAA